AUGGCACGGUUGUGCCUUUAUCUUUGCCUCUACCACCCCCACCUCCUGUGCCGUCCACGCCUGCCACAGCAAACUUGGGUAUUCCUUUGCCUCCACCACCUCCUGGUCCCCCACCUAAAGAGCAAGUUGCAGUUCGCCCUCCACUACCUCCACCUCCUCCCCUUCCACAGUCUGCACAGCCACUUCCACCUGGCACUAGUGGAAACAUGCCAGAUGACUCGACCUCCAAGGAGCUGGCUCAGGUAAGCUCUUCUAACAUCCUCUCUGGAUAUGCUGCCUUUCUGGCUUGAGCAUAUAAACAAUAUGUAUGUUUAAGUGUUUGUGUAAUCUUAAGAUCUGAAGAGUUUAGUUUAUCUACAAAACAUACAAAAUAUUUGAUUGGACAAUGUACAUGAUUUCCUCAAGGUCCCAUGUCUGUUGUUGAAUACUCAAAUAUUGAGCAGUAGAGAGUUUGAUACUGUGCCCUUUCUCACUAACAAAGGUACAUCCAUUGAAAAAAGUUAAAAAGAACAGAAAUUUAGGAGAUCUCCAAUUAGGUCUUUUUUUUUUUUUCCCUAUGGCCUCUAGCGCAUUUUUAGUUUAGCCCUAAGGUGCAAGGUCUAGGCGCAUGUCUUGUCAGCAUUGAUCUUCUUACACAGAAAGAUCUACACUUGGUCAAAAGCUGAGAACGGUGAAAUUGUUUCCUAAUUCUUUAGAAAUAUUUUCUGAGAAAAAUGUUAAUUUGUCUGUCUUGCUCUCCUUCUUAGGUGCCAACUGUACUCCCUCCCCCUCCUCCUGGAAUGCCCCCUAAAUUGGCUACUAAUCAAGGUGAAGGUGCUCCGUCAGAAGCUGAUACCAAUAACCAUACAGCAAUUUCUAAAAUGGUUCCACCACCUCCACCUCCUCCCAGACAACCUCCGGUGCCUGGACCUGCCAUGGUCCCAGCUUUACAGCCAGAUGUAUUACCCCCUGGAAUACCAGGUUUCCCUCCACCGCCGCUUCCAGAUAUGCGGGCAGCACUAUCUGCCAGUGGACUUCCUAGU
rnacentral:lncRNA from 1 species